AGAGUUUGAUCAUGGCUCAGAUUGAACGCUGGCGGCAUGCUUUACACAUGCAAGUCGAACGGCAGCACAGGGAGCUUGCUCCCGGGUGGCGAGUGGCGCACGGGUGAGUAAUACAUCGGAACGUGUCCUGUUGUGGGGGAUAACUGCUCGAAAGGGUGGCUAAUACCGCAUGACACCUGAGGGUGAAAGCGGGGGAUCGCAAGACCUCGCGCAAUUGGAGCGGCCGAUGCCCGAUUAGCUAGUUGGUGAGGUAAAGGCUCACCAAGGCGACGAUCGGUAGCUGGUCUGAGGAGGACGACCCAGCCACCACUGGGACUGAGACACCGGCCCAGACUCCCGUACGGGAGCA
rnacentral:rRNA from 1 species